rnacentral:misc_RNA from 1 species
GUUUUGGUUCUCUAGUUCAUGAAAACAGUGUGUGCAUGACUAGCAUAUAAUGCAACCAGUAGUGAUGAACUCAAAUUAUUUACUGCAUAAAGCUACUGUAUUCUUAAUUGUAAGAACUAGAGGAGCCUUGGUUUCCUGAAGUGCAUCAGUAAAUUCAUCUCCUAAUUGGCUUUUCUAGCACAGCAGAGAAGAACAGCUCGUCUCCGAGUUUAUCCGUCUUUGGUACGAUUCUCCAUAGUAGCUUCCUGUAGCCUAGCCUCGAAAACUCAUUCAAAUACAGCCUCAUAUCUUCUUUCUUACAGAAGAAACGAUCCACCCAAAGAAGACCCUUGGGUCGAAGGACUCUGUCCCAAUCGAAUAGCGCAAAUUGGAGGAGUUCCAUACCAAUCCACCCAUCCAAGAAUAGAGUAGAAUGAACAAUAUCAAGCGUGUUAUCAAAGAACGGCAAUCUUGAUCCAAUGGAUAGAUAGAGAGGCAACAGGCCUCUUAGUGCAAUCACUUCACUAAAAGGGGCGCCUAAAUUCAAGGUUGCUGAUGCAAUGGUUACAUUUCUUUCCCUCAUAAGUGCAGCAAAUGUGCCUGUUGUGGGGCUAAAAUCAAGUCCAACACGAAUCUCUCCUGGCUUUAAUCCUAAAACUUCAUCAAUAGUGAACUCAGCUGAAAUAGACUCAUUUGUUGGGAUUUGCCAUCCUCUUUUUGAAAGAUUGAAGCAAUCUGCACAUUUGAAGAAGCCUCUUCUGUCCACUGUUUCAUUGGAAAGUAGACAAGAAUACCUUUUGCAUUUGUAAUGGCUCCACAAGAUAUUACUAUCACUAGGUUGGGUCCAAAGAGAGGAGUUUACAGGAAGUGGCUUGGUGUAUUUUGGAGGUGCUCUUGAUAGGCAUCUCCUUCUUGGCAGUGGGUCACACCCACUGGCAAUAAGCUUUUGAGCCAAGUCCCAGUCAUCUGGGCACAUCGCAUACAUUUUGUAAUUCAUGAACCGAUCUAUGUUUGCAGCCAUAUGCGUACAAGCUAGUCCAACGGAAGGACUAAUUGCGUCAACUCCUAGAAAAAUUUUCUUUCCACUUUGCCUAUUUGGUUUUGGUGAAGUAUAGUUGUGAAGCUCACCUGAAUUGAAGACCUUCACACCCAUUGAUCCUUCUUGAUCUUCACUUUCCUCAGGUUCACUAAAAUCUUCAUCAACUUUGCUUAUUUCAUUAUCACUCGCAGGAUCAUUGCAGGACACACUUGAUAGACUAUCAGCAAGCUUGUCCAAGGACAGAGCUAUGCGAAGAACUUGAUCAGAAAAUUUUGCUAUUGUAUUUGAAUCUGAACUUCCAUUAUGCAGCUGCUCUAGCAAAACUCCCAGCUGCGCCUGCAAAUUAGAAACUUGGCUGUGAAUGGAGUAAGGCAAACGAAUUAAGCCAGGCGAGAUGUUUGUGGUCCUGGUGGUGAAGAUGUAGAGAGGAUAAGAGAUGCUGGAACUCAAAAUUAUAAUGGCGAAGAGGCUAAUAAUCAAGGCAACACAUAGAAUUGCAAGAAGGCUUCUAGAAAGGCAUUUUAAAGAUCUUGAGGUGUUGUGCUUCUGCAUUUUCUGUGAUGGGUUCUUCUUUUCCUGAAACUUUCCUUGAGUAGCUACUGUUUAUUCCAUCUCUGAGCUAUUUUGACUUUGCCAAUGAGUUCGGAUCCUCCUAUUAUUCUUUAAUUCAAGUUUCAUCUUCCCUAGAUUCUUAAUUUUAUAUUUAAUCAUUUUAUUUUGCCUUGGAAAUGCAAACAUCUAGGACGCAAGUUUAACUAAUAU